GCUUGUCUCAAAGAUUAAGCCAUGCAUGUCUAAGUGUAAAUACGUCUACACUGUGAAACUGCGAAUGGCUCAUUAAAUCAGUUAUCGUUUAUUUGAUGAUCUCUUGUUACAUGGAUAACCGUAGUAAUUCUAGAGCUAAUACAUGCGUCAAGCCCCGACUCACGAAGGGGUGUAUUUAUUAGAUUCAAAGCCAAUGCGGGGCAACCCGGAUUCUGGUGAUUCAUAAUAAUUAUCGGAUCGAUCGUAUGAUCGAUGCAUCAUUCAAGUUUCUGCCCUAUCAGCUUUGGAUGGUAGGGUAUUGGCCUACCAUGGCAUUAACGGGUAACGGAGAAUUAGGGUUCGAUUCCGGAGAGGGAGCCUGAGAAAUGGCUACCACAUCCAAGGAAGGCAGCAGG
rnacentral:rRNA from 1 species